rnacentral:rRNA from 1 species
CUGUCGUCAGCUCGUGUCGUGAGAUGUAGGGUUUAAGUCCCGCAACGAGCGCAACCCUUGUCUUUAAUUGCCAUCAUUGAGUUUGGGCACUUUUAAAGAGACUGCCGGUGUUAAACCGGAGGAAGUGGGAUGACGUCAAGUCCUCAUGGCCUUUAUGCCCAGGGCUACACACGUGCUACAAUGGGUGGUACAAAGAGCAGCCAGCUCGCGAGAGUGAGCAAAUCUCAAAAAGCCAUCCUCAGUUCGGAUUGAAGUCUGCAACUCGACUUCGUGAAGCUGGAUUCGCUAGUAAUCGCGCAUCAGCCAUGGCGCGGUGAAUACGUUCCCGGGCCUU